CCUACGGGUGGCAGCAGUGGGGAAUAUUGCACAAUGGGGGAAACCCUGAUGCAGCAACGCCGCGUGAGUGAGGAAGUAUUUCGGUAUGUAAAGCUCUAUCAGCAGGGAAGAGAAAAGAAGGUACCUGAAAAAGAAGCCCCGGCUACCUACGUACCAACAGACGCGGGAAUACGUAGGGGAAAAGCGUUAUCCGGAUUAACGGGUUGUAAAGGGAGCGUAGGCGGAAAGGCAAGUCAGAAGUGAAAGCCCAAGGCUCAACCAUGGGACUGAUUUUUAAACUGUAAAACUAGAGUACGGUUGAGGUAAGAGGAAGUCCUAGUGUAGCGGUGAAAUGCGUAGAUAUUAGGAGGAACACCAGUGGCGAAGGCGUCUUACUGGACCGAAACUGACGUUGAGGCUCGAAAGCGUGGGUAGCAAACAGGAUUAGAUACCCUUGUAGUC
rnacentral:rRNA from 1 species